UCCCUUGCUGUUUCGGUAAACAAGCCACUGGCAAGUCAUUAACUAAAAAAAAACAAGGCGUCCAGCAGAAACAAAAGAAUAGUUGUGUCACACGCUGUCAUGGAAGCAAUCAGCUGCCAUUCGUCUUGCUGAUUCUCUCCCAAAAUGUCUACAUACAGAAAUCACUCCAGGUCCCCGGCAUAAUGAUUUACGAUGAAUCUGUGUCAAUGUUGAACUCGGCAAACCCCACGUAAUCCAUCUUGUAGAUGUACCUUGCAACCCCGCCCCGCCUCGCCUGCUCUGGUGAAGCCGUGCCUUGCCUGGGCCAUGGGAAGGCGAGGAGGAGGCGUAGACGUCAUCGGUGAAGAGGAAAGAAGAAGAGUGGUGAGAGGGUUGAUCGGCACUUCAAAACAGAGAGUGGUAGCUGUCACACACGCCAACGUUGCGUGUAUUUCUUCAUGAGACGUGACAGUCACCGGACAUUUUAUAAGGACCCACUCCUGAGGUUUGGGAAAUUGGGGCGAAGUUCUUCUUGAAAGAAGUUGAGCAACACUUGACUCCUUUUCAAACAAACAUAUUUGAGGUGUGAGACAAAGAGCUAAUUUAAUUGCAAGAGCUGGUGGCGGCGGUGCAGGCAGGUAGGUAAUUGAAAUCAUCCCAUUAAGGAAUUCCAUUAUGAAUUGCUGAUUAGGGCCACACGUGAUUACCGUGGACAAAGACAUUUUUACAUUUUUUUCUUUAAGUUUCUGCAUUGCUUGAUAUACUUACAAAAAAGGUGCGGAGAAGGAGAGUAAACAUCGUGGUAAAAAGUCAGAUUUUCUUCAGCAGAAUUUAGUAGGAAUUUGUACCAAUUUUAAUUUAAUUACUAUUUAAUGAGUCAUUGUCUAUUUUUACAUUUUUAUUUCGAUCAAGUUUACGGAAGCCCUUAUUGUGGAAUGUGUUGCUCCUGACUUCUACCUUCUACCACAAGUUCCAAUGCAGUCGAGCUCCUACCGCAAAAAUGUUAUGCUUUUUCCACUUUUAUGACAUAUAAAUGUAGUUAGAAUCUUAUAUUCUCAUGUUAAAAGAUUCAGAUAAUGUUUUUUGCGCCUUUGGAAGUGAGCUUUGAAAGAAAUUUGGGAUGGCUCAAAAGGCUCGGUUUCAGAAGGCGUGGUAAAACUGCCCCAUUGUGAUGUCACAGAGGAGCGGACUUCCUUAUAUGGGCAUGGCUGUAAGCCAGAUAAGCUCUCUGCCCUCCACCAAGCUCUGCUUCUCUCUUUACAUUAGCUAGCACUGGCUCAUACAGGAACGCCACAUUUGUUUACAAUUCUUAAAGACACCACAACUGAAUAGGUGAAGAUUCUGGAAGAACUAGAAAGCUUUGUGUGCUGGUUAUUGUGUGUAGCUGCUCUAUAGGAGUCCACAACUCAAUAGAAAGACGAGUAGACAAAUUGCAAGAAUGUACCUUCUGCACUGUUGGAUGGUUGUAAGCAGAGCUUCAAAUAGCCAAAAGAAGAAAGUAGUAAGAACGUAAAUACAUUCUUGCAAAUUUUUAACCGGUUUUAAAAUUUUGACCAGGUGUGCGUAGCCUCUAUCCUAGUGGAGCCAUGUUUGUUGCGGAGUAUGCCAGCCAUGAUUAUGGAGUAUUUUGUUCAUAUAUGUGCUAUAUUAGUACAGGGUUUUGUCCACCAUGUUUAUGGAAUGUGUUGCAUGUCAGCCAUGUUUGUGGAGUGUGCUGCAG